GAUGAACGCUGGCGGCGUGCCUAAUACAUGCCAGUCGAGCGAACAGAUCAGGAGCUUGCUCCUUUGACGUUAGCGGCGGACGGGUGAGUAACACGUGGGUAACCUACCUAUAAGACUGGGAUAACUUCGGGAAACCGGAGCUAAUACCGGAUAAUAUUUCGAACCGCAUGGUUCGAUAGUGAAAGAUGGUUUUGCUAUAUCUUAUAGAUGGACACGCGCCGUAUUAGCUAGUUGGUAAGGUAACGGCUUACCAAGGCGACGAUACGUAGCCGACCUGGGAGGGUGAUAGGCCACACUGGAACGUGGACACGGUCCAGACUCCUACGGGAGGCAGCAGUAGGGAAUCUGCCGCAAUGGGCGAAAGCCUGACGGAGCAACGCCGCGUGAGUGAUGAAGGUCUUCGGAUCGUAAAACUCUGUUAUUAGGGAAGAACAUACGUGUAAGUAACUGUGCACGUCUUGACGGUACCUAAUCAGAAAGCCACGGCUAACUACGUG
rnacentral:rRNA from 1 species